CCUACGGGUGGCAGCAGUAGGGAAUUUUGCGCAAUGGGCGAAAGCCUGACGCAGCAACGCCGCGUGAUCGAGACGCCUUUCGGUAUGUAAAGCUCUAUCAGCAGGGAAGAAAAUGACGGUACCUGAUUAAGAAGCCCCGGCUAACUACGUGCCAGCAGCCGCGGUAAUACGUAGGGGGCAAGCGUUAUCCGGAUUUACUGGGUGUAAAGGGAGCGUAGACGGCAGCACAAGUCUGGAGUGAAAUGCCGGGGCUUAACCCCGGAACUGCUUUGGAAACUGUGCAGCUAGAGUGCAGGAGAGGUAAGUGGAAUUCCUAGUGUAGCGGUGAAAUGCGUAGAUAUUAGGAGGAACACCAGUGGCGAAGGCGGCUUACUGGACUGUAACUGACGUUGAGGCUCGAAAGCGUGGGGAGCGAACAGGAUUAGAUACCCCAGUAGUC
rnacentral:rRNA from 1 species